CAUAGCUUUCCUAUGAAAUAACAUGAAAUAACGCUAGCUUAUAUAUUGUAGUGGGAUCUUCUUUAUUACCAAGUGGUAAGUUGACUAUAAUGCCCUCUAAGGGGAACAUAAUGCACUUUCCUAAGCAUAUCCAUACUCUGCGUGAAGAUUCCUCUUCGGAAGAGUUAACCUUAUUUUUAGACCAGCAGGAGGAACCUUUUCUUUUUCAAUCUUCGUAUGACCUGCAAUU